UUCCGGGACAGGUUCACUGCGUGGAGGCACACACCCAUUUUCUGAAAGCGAUCUCCAGUUGUCUGGCUUGUAGUCACCACCGCUCCUCGUAUUGCACUCAGUCAAGAUUGUCAAGGGUAAAAAGUUUGUGAUCUUUCAUCGUCUUCACUAUCCAAUCACGACUCACAAUGAGUGAUAAACCAAGCAUCGAAGAAGUCACAAAGUUUGACAAGAGCAAACUGAAAAAGACAGAAACACAAGAAAAAAAUACAUUACCAACAAAAGAAACAAUUGCUCAAGAAAAAGCGGACAAUGCCUGAUUGGUAGAAAAUCUAUUGUUCCAGUGUACAUCCAUUUAUGCUUCUUUACAUUUUUAUAAGCAAUUUCUACCAUCUUGAAACAAAGUUAUAGUUUUCAAAUCCUAAUGUAAUUUUCCAGCAGUUCAAAAUAUAUGCAAUAGAUCAUAACUUUUUCCUCCUGUAUUGGUAUGCAGCUGAUUUGUGAAAUCUUUGUAUAACAGAAUUGGUUACCACUUGCCAUUUAUAAUUCUUAGUGAUGUAACUUUAAUCUUGCCAGCAGACUAUAUUUGCAUGUUACAUGGGUGGAAGUGCGUGUUUUGUUUGCCAAGUUAAACAGGGUGAAACGUAAACCAAAUUACAAAAGUUUAUUGGUUAAGUUUAUCCUGGUGUUGGCAAAGCGUACAUUAACUUGUCACCCAUGUUUCUGUGAUAGUAAUGGACUGCACAAGUUAACAGAGGGAUGGAUACCUUAUUAGUGCACAACUUGUUUCACCUCAGUUAGUCAACCCAAAUGCUUUUGUAUUGUAGAGUUAAAUACUUCAAUAUUUAGUAGGUUAGGCAUUUAUUCCACUACAAUGAUGCAUUGUUGCAUAAAAUAAUGGACCAAGAAUGAAGAUGAGUGAACUGUAUAUGUUGCAAUCUACGAGUACUUGUUUGCCAAUGUGAUGUUUGAUCUAGCUUUUUGGUUCAGUUUAAACUUGAAUUUCAUUUUGCAAGAUGUUGAAAACUAAUUUUCCAUCAAUUAAAAAUUUGAAGUUUUUGAUACAUGUGCAUUUAUAUUACUAUUUGAAAGCAACAUUGCCAAAUUUAAAAUUUAAAUUUUUUUAUUUGAUGGAAGAUGUGCAGUGGUGGUAUGGUAUUCAAAUUACAAUUUUAUUUUGUAUGCAUUAGUAAUGGAAUAAAACACUCAGAGCAAAUAGAGAAAUAAAUAAGCAACUAGAAAUA